GGAGGAACAAAUCGAAUGGCGACGAAAACUGUUUUGAAAACAGCCGAGCAUGAUGAGUGCCUUGGGAGUUCAACUCUCCCUUCCUCCGCCA
rnacentral:tRNA from 1 species